GUGAAUCAUCAAAUUUUUGAACGCAUAUUGCACUCCCUGGUAUUCCGGAGAGUAUGCCUAUUUGAGGGUCAUUUGAAAUAAUAUAAAUUCUAAGAUUUCUCGGACUUUAAAAUGGGUUGUCAAUUUUUUGUGUUCGCCUACAAUCCAAGACAAGCUCAUUUUCUUGCGUUGCGUGAUACUUUCAGUUACCUCGUGACUUCACAAGAAAUCUUCGCGCGUGCUCAGAAU
rnacentral:misc_RNA from 1 species